GUGGCGAACGGGUGAGUAACACGUGAGUAACCUGCCCUUAACUCUGGGAUAAGCCUGGGAAACUGGGUCUAAUACCGGAUAGGAGCGUCCACCGCAUGGUGGGUGUUGGAAAGAUUUAUCGGUUUUGGAUGGACUCGCGGCCUAUCAGCUUGUUGGUGAGGUAAUGGCUCACCAAGGCGACGACGGGUAGCCGGCCUGAGAGGGUGACCGGCCACACUGGGACUGAGACACGGCCCAGACUCCUACGGGAGGCAGCAGUGGGGAAUAUUGCACAAUGGGCGAAAGCCUGAUGCAGCGACGCCGCGUGAGGGAUGACGGCCUUCGGGUUGUAAACCUCUUUCAGUAGGGAAGAAGCGAAAGUGACGGUACCUGCAGAAGAAGCACCGGCUAACUACGUGCCAGCAGCCGCGGUAAUACGUAGGGUGCGAGCGUUAUCCGGAAUUAUUGGGCGUAAAGAGCUCGUAGGCGGUUUGUCGCGUCUGUCGUGAAAGUCCGGGGCUUAACCCCGGAUCUGCGGUGGGUACGGGCAGACUAGAGUGCAGUAGGGGAGACUGGAAUUCCUGGUGUAGCGGUGGAAUGCGCAGAUAUCAGGAGGAACACCGAUGGCGAAGGCAGGUCU
rnacentral:rRNA from 1 species